UAGGGAAUCUUCGGCAAUGGGGGGAACCCUGACCGAGCAACGCCGCGUGAGUGAAGAAGGUUUUCGGAUCGUAAAGCUCUGUUGUUAAGGAAGAACGAGUGUGAGAAUGGAAAGUUCAUACUGUGACGGUACUUAACCAGAAAGGGACGGCUAACUACGUGCCAGCAGCCGCGGUAAUACGUAGGUCCCGAGCGUUGUCCGGAUUUAUUGGGCGUAAAGCGAGCGCAGGCGGUUAGAUAAGUCUGAAGUUAAAGGCAGUGGCUCAACCAUUGUAGGCUUUGGAAACUGUUUAACUUGAGUGCAGAAGGGGAGAGUGGAAUUCCAUGUGUAGCGGUGAAGUGCGUAGAUAUAUGGAGGAACACCGGUGGCGAAAGCGGCUCUCUGGUCUGUAACUGACGCUGAGGCUCGAAAGCGUGGGGAGCGAACAGG
rnacentral:rRNA from 1 species